AAAAAAUCCGGGGGCCAUUGAUCCUGAGGCGUGACGGUGACCGCUUUAGCGGGAAGUAGGGUGAUCCUAUGCUGCCAAGAAAAACUUCUAGCGAGGUUUGAGCCGCCCGUACCCUAAACCGACCCAGGUGGUUAGGUAGAGAAUACCAAGGCGAUCGAGUGAAUCGUGGUUAAGGAAUUCGGCAAAAUGCCCCCGUAACUUCGGGAGAAGGGGGGCCGUGACCUUGAAACCCUUUACGGGUUAGGGGUAUCGGCCGCAGAGACCAGGGAGAAGCGACUGUUUACUAAAAACACAGGUCCGUGCGAAGAAGCAAUUCGAUGUAUACGGACUGACGCCUGCCCGGUGCUGGAACGUUAAGGGGACCGGUUAGCUCCACUUUGUGGGGCGAAGCUGAGAACUUAAGCGCCAGUAAACGGCGGUGGUAACUAUAACCAUCCUAAGGUAGCGAAAUUCCUUGUCGGGUAAGUUCCGACCUGCACGAAUGGCGUAACGACUUCUCCACUGUCUCAACCGCGAACUCGGCGAAAUUGCAUUACGAGUAAAGAUGCUCGUUACGCGCAGCAGGACGGAAAGACCCCGGGACCUUUACUACAGCUUGGUAUUGGUGUUCGGUACGGCUUGUGUAGGAUAGGUGGGAGACUGUGAAGCGGCCACGCCAGUGGUUGUGGAGUCAACGUUGAAAUACCACUCUGGUUGUACUGGAUGUCUAACUUCGGUCCAUGAUCUGGAUCAGGGACAGUGCCUGGUGGGUAGUUUAACUGGGGCGGUUGCCUCCCAAAAGGUAACGGAGGCGCCCAAAGGUUCCCUCAGCCUGGUUGGCAAUCAGGUGUUGAGUGUAAGUGCACAAGGGAGCUUGACUGUGAGACCGACAGGUCGAGCAGGGACGAAAGUCGGGACUAGUGAUCCGGCGGUGGCAUGUGGAAGCGCCGUCGCUCAACGGAUAAAAGGUACCCCGGGGAUAACAGGCUGAUCUUGCCCAAGAGUCCAUAUCGACGGCAUGGUUUGGCACCUCGAUGUCGGCUCGUCGCAUCCUGGGGCUGGAGUAGGUCCCAAGGGUUGGGCUGUUCGCCCAUUAAAGCGGUACGCGAGCUGGGUUUAGAACGUCGUGAGACAGUUCGGUCCCUAUCCGCUGCGCGCGUAGGAAACUUGAGGAGAGCUGUCCCUAGUACGAGAGGACCGGGAUGGACGAACCACUGGUACGUCAGUUGUUCCGCCAGGAGCACCGCUGAUUAGCUACGUUCGGGCGUGAUAACCGCUGAAAGCAUCUAAGCGGGAAACAUCCUCCAAGAUGAGGUUUCCAUACCCUUCGGGGUGAGAGGCUCCCAGCUAGACGACUGGGUUGAUAGGCCAGAUGUGGAAACACAGUAAUGUGUGCAGCUGACUGGUACUAAUAAGCCGAUAACUUCACU
rnacentral:rRNA from 1 species